AUACGUAGGGGGCGAAGCGUUAUCCGGAUUUACUGGGUGUAAAGGGAGCGUAGGCGGCCAUGCAAGUCAGAAGUGAAAGCCCGGGGCUCAACCCCGGGACUGCUUUUGAAACUGUAAGGCUAGAUUGCCGGAGAGGUAAGCGGAAUUCCUAGUGUAGCGGUGAAAUGCGUAGAUAUUAGGAGGAACACCAGUGGCGAAGGCGGCUUACUGGACGGUCAAUGACGCUGAGGCUCGAAAGCGUGGGGAGC
rnacentral:rRNA from 1 species